rnacentral:rRNA from 1 species
UACGUAGGGUGCAAGCGUUAUCCGGAUUCACUGGGUUUAAAGGGUGCGUAGGUGGGCUGGUAAGUCAGUGGUGAAAUCUCCAGGCUUAACUUGGAAACUGCCAUUGAUACUAUCAGUCUUGAAUACCGUGGAGGUCAGCGGAAUAUGUCAUGUAGCGGUGAAAUGCUUAGAUAUGACAUAGAACACCAAUUGCGAAGGCAGCUGGCUACACGAAUAUUGACACUGAUGCACGAAAGCGUGGGGAUCAAACAGG